CUGAUAACUUGGACAACCUGCGAAGGCUUGCUGAGCAGUUCCAGAAGCAAAUGCCUGGAGCUGAGGGUGGCGCCAGCAUCGGCGCUGCCCAGGACGACGAUGACGACGUCCCAGAGCUCGUCCCAGGAGAGACCUUCGAAGAAGCCGCUGAGGAGAAGAAGGCACCUGAGGCGAAGAAGGAAGCGGAGCCGGAGGAGAAGAAAGAGUCGUCGUAAAUCAUUGUUGUGAAGGGUUCCUUGUUGGUUCAGGGUUGAGUCGCAUCUAGUACCAUGCAUGCCAGAGACACAUGCUCCUGUGAGAACUCUGGCCUACCUUUCGUUUCCAGCGCUCCUCCGGUUUUGUCUUGGCCGUGGGUUGUGUCCAAACCGACAGCGGAACUGAGUUUUACGACAAUUGCGAUUCAUCAUCAUUGGAAAGUGUUUGAUAUGCACAGUUGCAUUGUUUGAAGGAUAGGUGUCUCGGAAACGGUAUGCCAUCCAAAAUCUAGUCAGUCGCAUGAAUUUGUUAAGUGCAUGCCCAAUUUGCCCCAGCAGCAUUUAUUCUCGGUGUAUCUUGCCAACAUCAUUUCCAAAUUGCAUGUGAAUAGACUUCUAAAUAUUUUAAAAACACAUUUAAGGAUAUUUUUCUGGGAGAACAAUUGUACUCCAGAACAAUGAGGUGUAGAAAACGGAACCUGCUCCUCUACCAGCGGCAUGGCACGGUAACCUGCCUCUUUAGGGCAUUUCUAUCAAAUUCAUGUUUCUGCUGUAAAAUCGAAUAUCCAAUCCGUUAAUGUUUUUUAUUUUAUUUUAUGGUCAUCUUCUUACUCAAUUCACCCGCGCAAACAGCAACAACCGCUUCUUUCAUUCUAUGGCCAUUGGUCCCUCGGGGCGACCUUGAGCUCCAUGGCGGAGCUGCCGCGACCACUUGAGAGCUCAAGGGGUGUGAUGGCCUUUGGCCUCGGACCUCGACCUUGAGCCCGCAUCCAUGGUGGAGCUGCUGCGGCCACCCGAGAGCACGAUGGUGGUUGACUUGAAAUUUCCCUCACGCCAACGAUUUUCUUGUAUGGGAGGGUUGAAAUUUUUGCCUUCACAACUUCAUAUCUUGGGAUGAGGUUUUCUUUUUAGGGGGAGUUGUAUAAUUUUUACAGAACCGGGCGUUUUGAGUGAUAUGGAAUGGGUAUUUUUUUUAAUCUGAAAUUGUAAAAGGUGGUUAUGUUGCAUUAUAUAUUUUUUUAUGGAAUCUGCUAGAGCCUAGAGAUGCUCUUACCCAGCCGUGCGUCUGACGCAGCAAGCCGCUCGCCUGAACUGAAUUUGACGAUUAACUGAAGAAUCCGGACACAGGAACUUAACACGACGCAUAACCACACGGGAACUGAACAUGACAACAAACUGAAGUUUGAAGCCAGCUAUGCAGGUUACAACCAAGUGAACUUUACUUAGCAUCUCUAUUAUUAAAAAAAAAAUCUGCCGUCGUCAUGAUGGUUCAACCUAGACCCCCCUACCAUCGCUAGCUAUCGAUACAUCCUUCCACCACGUCCUCCCACUGUUUUUUCUUUAACCCUUCGAAAACCAGAGGCGGUUCAAUCAACCUCUUCCUCCCACCUUCCAUUAAAAUGAAAGAGGAGACAAUUACACCGAAGCCGCGACCCACGCACGCACGUUCCCAUCGCCAAUCGCCGCUCAAUCGGGAGGAAAUCCAGUUGCAGGCAUUUUCCCUUGUGUGAUAUCCACAUCCGCUCUAUUCUCUCUUGGAAACCCUAUUCCAGCAAACGGCUGAUCCAUAAGGCCCGAAGGAGGCGAUGCAGCAGGAGGAUUCCGAUCUGAUCCAAUGGUUCCUUACCCAUCGUGAUGCAGCAGGAGGGCUCCGAUGUGAUUCUAUGGUGCCUUACCCGCCGUGAUGUAGAAGGAGGGCUUCGAUCUGAACCGAUGGUGCCUUGCCCGCGUCGUUGUCAGCAAGCGGUGUGCAGUUCACGUUCCAGAUUGUCAAGUGGCUCAUCGCCAAGAGACGAAGCGAUCUUCGGUCCCAGCCGCGGUGAGGGUGGUGCUGGCUACGGCCUCCCGCACCUCGACGUGAUCAUAGGCCUGGACGGCAUCUUGACUUCAAUAACUCGCCCUUGCGCUCAUGAACUUCAGCUCCUCGGGGUGCACAUACAAUCUUACACUCGCCCUCGCUCCCCUCUACUAUUCUGAUUGCUUGGGCAACUAUUUUCCCCAUAACCUGCACAUGAGAUCACGUGCAGACGACCUUCGAGCCAAGAUGCAGCUCUAUUCAGAGAUGAUCAUGUUGGGGAACGCCGCAUGGGAAACAAAAUUUUUCCUACGCGCACGAAGACCUAUCAUGGUGAUGUCCAUCUACGAGAGGGGAUGAGUGAUCUACGUACCCUUGUAGACCGUACAGCAGAAGCGUUAGUGAACGCGGUUGAUGUAGUGGAACGUCCUCACGUCCCUCGAUCUGCCCCGCGAACAAUCCCGCGAUCAGUCCCACGAUCUAGUACCGAACGGACGGCACCUCCGCGUUCAGCACACGUUCAGCUCGACGAUGAUCUCGGCCUUCUUGAUCCAGCAAGAGAGACAGAGAGGUAGAAGAGUUCUCCGGCAGAGUGACGGCGCUCCGGAGGUUGGUGAUGAUCUCGUCUCAGCAGGGCUCCGCCCGAGCUCCGCAGAAACGCGAUCUAGAGGAAAAACCGUGGAGGUAUGCGGUCGGGCUGCCGUGGAAAAGUCGUCUCAAAUCAGCCCUAAAACCUCCGUAUAUAUAGGUGGGAGGGAGGGGACCUUGCCUUGGGGCUCAAGGAGCCCCAAGGGGGUCGGCCGAGCAGAGGGGGAAGGUCUCCCCCCCCCAAACCGAGUUGGACUUGGUUUGGUGGGUGGGAGUCCUUCCUUCCCUUCCCAACUUUUUUUUUUCUUUCUCUUUGAUUUUUCUUUCUUAGGCGCAUAGGGCCCCUUUGGGCUGUCCCACCAGCNNNNNNNNNNNNNNNNNNNNNNNNNNNNNNNNNNNNNNNNNNNNNNNNNNNNNNNNNNNNNNNNNNNNNNNNNNNNNNNNNNNNNNNNNNNNNNNNNNNNUAGGGCAUAAUUCCAACACUUAUUUCGGUGGUACUUGUGAUCCUCAUGUGUGUAGGGCUGUGGUGGAGUUCUUAGUGUUCAUACACAGCCCAUGCCCCUCGUAAAAAUUCGUGUAGCCAUAUCCAUGGGGUCUAUUUUAUCUGUCAGAUCUGAAAAUCAAACCCCAGCGGUACUACCGCCAGGGUAGCGGUACUACCGCUAGGACCCCCAGCGGUACUACCGCCAGGGGUAGCGGUACUACCGCGAGGACCCCAGCGGUACUACCGCCAGGGAUAGCGGUACUACCGCCAGGAGGAUUCACUAUGCAUUCUUUUCAUGUGCUUGGAAAUGAUGUUUACUUUUCUGCCUUUUCUAGUUCAUUGCCUUGACUCUUUUUGUCGCUUCUUUUCGUUGUGUGUUUUGUGUCACAGGUGGUGCUCACCGUUCGAAUACCUCACGGGACACGUCGCAACCCAAAGGCUCCAAAGGGUUCUGCUACUUCAGGUCUGCAACCCAAAAGGCAGGCCUUCAAGAAGACCGCGCACAAGGACAAGGGGAUCAAUGUCCGCACAAUGCCCCCCAAGGACUUUCUGCGGUUCCGCACUCAAAACCAUUAUCUCCAAGAGAAGGCUGUGAUCAACAAUGUUGACCAUGUUUGGACAAGGGAUCACUAUAGGAUCUACCGUGAUAUUGUCAUGCAUUUCAAGAAGAACUUUGUCCCCGUUCAGUGGAUUGACCUAGCUCAUCUUCAGCGGAACCUGGACUAUUUUGGUGAUGCCCUUUCUCUGAUUGACAAACUGGGCAUCAAGGACAUCAUCACUUUCAAGACAGAUUUUGACCCCAAUGUUGUUGCCCAGUUCUAUGUCACGGUCCACUUCUCUCCGGAUGACGAGCGCUCUAUGGUGUGGAUGACUGGGACUCAGAAGAUGACCGGUACCUGGCGUGAAUUCAUGGCAUUCCUCAAGGUUGAGUUCCAGGGAGCUGACACUCCACUUGGGUCGCGUCCUCAUGCUGCAGCUCCCACUGAUAGGCCCCCCGCCAAGGACAGAUUGCAGCAACUCUAUGUGAAGAAGGGUGUGCUCCCCAAGCAUCUGGACAUCAUGCAUCGGAUCUUCCGCAACACCCUCUUUCCUUGCAUUGGUAACUUCGACGAGGUUCAUGGCUCUCUGGCUGAGAUGUUGCUGCUCUGUGAGGAGGCUAUGACAAAGGAGUCUGCCCCUCUUGAUAUUUCUGAUGUGAUGUUCACGGAGCUCUGGAACUGCAUCAUGAUGCGCAAGGUUCCCAUCUACGGGCCCUAUCUGUUUGCUUAUAUCCGUCAGAAGUGGCAGGACACCUAUCCGCAGGAGGAGCUAUACGUUCAGGCUGACUACAUUGUGCACGACCCUGUCAAGCUUCGCGUCAAGGAUAAAUGGGCCAACCCAUCAACUUCCUCUCAGCAUAUGGAUACUGACACAGAGACUGCAGCUGACAGAGGAACCGCCUCUCAGUCCCGCUCUUCUGCCAUGCCAUCUUGGGCCAUCAAACUGUAGGAUAAGAUGAAGACUCUAUUCUGUAUGCAGGCUAAGGGCCAGUACCAGGCGCACGUGGCUCAGAAGGAGAGCCGCCAGAGGCACAAGCGUGUCCUAAGGACUCUUGAUGUUGACAUCUCCAGCGGAUCAAAGGACGACAUCACUCCAGAGGCUACUUGGAUGCGGGCUCAAGGUUACCAGUGGUCUGGCGCUGAGGAGGAAGAGGAGGAGCAGGACGAUCAGGAGGGUACCGACGAGUCUGGCAAUGCUGAGGAUGAGGAGUAACCACCUGUGGCGUUAGGUGUGCCCCUUUUUGGUGUCUUGUGCCAAAGGGGGGGAGAGUCUAGGAGCUGGAUUUGCUUGCUUUCAGAGUCGAACUUUGCUUUGCUUUGCUUUCUUUCGUGUUUUGCUUCGAACUUGGUUUCCUUCUAGUCUGCUAUCGUGUGUGAGACAUGAACUUAUGUGAGAUUUAUUUCCAUCAUAUGCUAUGAGUCAUAUGCCCCGUAUUGUCAUAUAUCUCUAUCUUUUUGUUCUCAUAUUAUUCUCUGUGCAAAUCCGGUAUUGUCAUCAAUCCACCAAAAAGGGGAGAUUGUUGGGGCAUAGUUUAUGCCUAAGUAAUUUUGGUGAUUGAUGACAGUACCGUAAAGGACUAACCGUGUGUGUUAAGGUUUCAGAUAACACACGUCAAUGGCACAAGAUGACUCGCCUCCUCAUUCAUGGAACAGAAGCACGGCGUUCUCAACGAUUCUCUUUAUUUGAGUCAUAGGAAAGCCGUACUAUUAAGAGGGGAACCGUAGUGGAAAGGUUUGGGUGGAAUCAAUCUUUGCACGUGCACACUUCACAUAUUUUCCCUUACCUUCAUCUUUGGAGCGGCCCCCGCAUCUGUGUUUCUUUCCUCUUUGCAAAAUGGUCCCUCAGCGGUAGUACCGCUGGGCCAAGCGGUAGUACCGCUGGCCCUAGCGGUAGUACCGCUGGAGUGCUAGCGGUAGUACCGCUGCAGCCAGCGGUAGUACCGCUAGCUGGCGGUAGUACCGCCCCUGGUCAGCGGUAGUACUGCUCCAGGAGCUUAGUACCGCCUUGUUGGAAAUAUGCCCUAGAGGCAAUAAUAAAAUGGUUAUUAUCAUAUUUCCUUGUUCAUGAUAAUCGUCUAUUGUUCAUGCUAUAAUUGUAUUAACAGGAAAUAGUAAUACAUGUGUGAAUUAAUAGAUCACAAUGUGUCCCUAGCAAGCCUCUAGUUGGCUAGCUCGUUAGUCAAUAGAUGAUCAUGGUUUCCUGAUCAUGGGCAUUAGAUGUCAUUGAUAACGGGAUCACAUCAUUGGGAGAAUGAUGUGAUGGACAAGACCCAAUCCUAAGCAUAGCACUAGAUCGUAUUGUUCGUAUGCUAAAGCUUUUCUAAUGUCAAGUAUCUUUUCCUUCGACCGUGAGAUUGUGCAACUCCCGGAUACUGUAGGAGUGCUUUGGGUGUAUCAAACGUCACAACGUAACUGGGUGACUAUAAAGGUGCACUACGGGUACCUCCGAAAGUGUCUGUUGGGUUGGUACGAAUCGAGAUCGGGAUUUGUCACUCCGUGUGACGGAGAGGUAUCUCUGGGCCCACUUGGUAGAACAUCAUCAUGAGCUCAAUGUGACUAAGGAGUUAGUCACACGAUGACGUGCUACGGAAUGAGUAAAGAGACUUACCGGUAACGAGAUUGAACAAGGUAUAGGUAUACUGACGAUCGAAUCUCGGGCAAGUUCUAUACCGACAAACAAAGGGAAUCGUAUACGGGAUUGAUUGAAUCCUUGACAUCGUUGUUCAUCUGAUAAGAUCAUCGUGGAGCAAGUGGGAGCCACCAUGGGUAUCCAGACCCCGCUGAUGGUUAUUGGCCAGAGAGGUGUCUCGGUCAUGUCUGUCUGUCUCCCGAACCCGUAGGGUCUACACACUUAAGGUUCGAUGACGCUAGGGUUAUAGGGAAUUGUUAUACAAAGUUACCAAAAGUUGUUCGGAGUCCCAGAUGAGAUCCCGGACGUCACGAGGAGCUCCGGAAUGGUCCGGAGGUAAAGAUUGAUAUAUAGGACGGAUGGUUUCGGACACCGGAAGUGUUUCGGGCGUCACCGGUAACAUAUCGGGACCACCAGGACCACCGGAGGUGGCCCCGGGGGUCCACCGAAGGGGGCAACGACCCCGAGAGGCU
rnacentral:lncRNA from 1 species